rnacentral:misc_RNA from 1 species
GAAGUAGGUAAGGCAAAAAUUUCAAAACCAAAGGCCUUGGUGGUACUCGCAACACCAGAGAGGUAAAACAAAUUUUUAUCUAAUACAAAAUUAUAUUCCAAUGCUACUCAAAAUGAUUUUCAUGAAGACAGGUUAAAAAGACAGUGCCAAUGUAUUUAGCUAAAUUAUGCUAAACUGUAGUACCAUGAUAAAAUGGAAGAAAUAAUAGUAGAACUGAAAACACCAUCUUUACCUUACGCAGGUAGCAC